CAACGGACCAUUGCGACUAUCAUGGGACACAGGGAAAUAGGGUUUGAUGCCAGAGCUUGAUGCAUGGCCGCCACUGCCGAGGGGGGCGGCAGGCCCACAUACUGCCCAAAUGCCACCCUGAGGCAGCAACAAU
rnacentral:rRNA from 1 species